rnacentral:misc_RNA from 1 species
UUACCAUGCCACUUGCAGCGAGGAUAGUGAUAACAGCGAGGGCAUUUAGUUGGGUGAAGCUCAGAAAACCAGCCUUCUUCGAUGGAGCAAUGUUUUGGCCCUUUUUUUUCAGGGAAGAGAAAUCUUCAUGUUGUUCCUUUGGAAGGCUUAUGUCACUGCAGGUCGGACCAACCCCGCCUGACAUUUUUCUUUUGGGUUUGAGAGAUUUUUGUUGGUGUGUCGAGUAGAGAAUUAGGUUGAGAUUUUCUGGAUCGAAAAGAGCAGUGAGAGGAGAGACACGGGAUAUGAGGAGUAUAACGUAGCGAAAGAGUACAAGUGGCAGUGUCUCAGGGGUUUAAGGUUGAUAGAUAUAAGACGUGGCUUCGGGAUGGGAGAGCGGGUUAGCGGUUUGGUCAAUCUGUCAGCUAUUUAUAAGGCAUUGGAUUCGCCGUUGUGUCAAAUGGUUGAGGGAUUGUUCG